rnacentral:lncRNA from 1 species
GUGUCCAAGAAUGAUAUGAAAUAUGAAACAAAAAAGGCCUGCAGAUUUUAAGAUAAAAGCCAACAAGACAACUCCACCACAUAACCAGACAUCCAUGCACCUUGAUCUCUUCCAUCUUGUACAGGAAACAACAAGCAAACAACCAUUCAAUGCCUAACAGCUUGAACUGCAUCAGUGUUGACUACUUCAGCCCAAAUCAGGAAAAAUCCUUUGGUAUUUGCCGGACC